UAACCUGCCUGGUAGCGGGGGAUAACUAUUGGAAACGAUAGCUAAUACCGCAUAACAGUAGAUAUUGCAUGAUAUCUGCUUGAAAGGUGCAAUUGCAUCACUACCAGAUGGACCUGCGUUGUAUUAGCUAGUUGGUGAGGUAACGGCUCACCAAGGCGACGAUACAUAGCCGACCUGAGAGGGUGAUCGGCCACACUGGGACUGAGACACGGCCCAGACUCCUACGGGAGGCAGCAUG
rnacentral:rRNA from 1 species